CUUAGUGUAUCCUGGCCCUUAGAGUUAAAAUGUUCAUUUAGGCCUAAAACUUUACCUGAUCAGAAAUCAGGAAAAUCCAAAAAUCUUUAAAAUCCAUGUUUCUCAUUUCCAAAACAUUGGUCUUGUGAGUCAAUUACAACAGGUUAGCAUAAUAGUUUAAGCAUGAGAAGUUGACAAACCAUCUUUGAAUAAUGAUUUUUUGUUUUACAGCAGGCUUGCUUAGUCUAUACUUUUAAUUAGGCAGUUCUCAAGGUAAAUUUUUAAAUGUCUUGUGCUGGAAAAAAAUGAGACAUCUGGUCACCCUAUUGCAUACGAGGCUAUAGAAAAUUCUGAUUGGGCUACAGCCACCCUGAACUCCCGGUGUAGUGCCAUUUUGAACACCAGCAAGCCAAAGAAAAACUAUUGACAUGAGAAAGCAUAAUGAAAAGAGGUGUUUCCCAGCAUUAGGGCACAAAAUUAAUUCUCCAGCCAAUCAAAAGACCCCUCCUUCCGUACCCUUUAUGUUAACCCGACCCCGACCAUUGAGAAUAAUGAGAAUUUAUUAUCAUGAAAUGUCACAAUGUGAAAUGAAUGAAUAAACAGGCUUCUUUCAUUAUGCAAAACGAAAUUUCUUUUCAUCUUCUUUCUUUGUUAUUAAGGAGUAAAAUGUGUCCCGGACAAAUUUUCAUCAUCAUUUUUAUGUUUUUUAUCAGAUUCAAUCGUGCAUGAAAAAAAACCCUAUCAGGAUAUUAAACUGUCCUUUUGUUUUUCUAGCCAUACGUGACUUUGGAAUAUCAGGUUUGGCAGGAGCUGAUAUCUGGGCAGACUACCUCUCUAAAUCUCUCCGUCUCUCUCUCCCUCUUUCAUUCUGUCUUUCUCACUCAGGCUUGCAGACAUCUCUGCGUUCAGGGGCCCGAGGCGCUGUUGAGCGUGGCAUCAUAAAACAGGCGGGCGAGGAGAGAGAGCGAGUGUUUGUGAGCAGAUUAACACACUGUGUGUUGGGGGAUUUCAGCUGCUCUGGCUAACACACAGUCAGUGUCUGAUUGAAAAGCCCAUCCGAAGCAUACGGACAGAGUCGGAGUGCACUAUAUAUACACUAGAUAUCGCAUACAGGCCCAGAGCAUGCGUCAAUAGUGCGGCCACAUAAGUACAGUGCUCCCAGGACAAAUGUCAUUUAACAACACUCAGUCAAGACGAAAGCCAAUCUGAGGAUGCUGGAAAACAAUGCACAAAGGCUGAACAUAUCAGAGUGGAUGAUCAGAUUGCAGCGCUGGCUGCUCUGCUGCGCUCUGAGCUUGAAAGUGACUACGUGCUACACAUUUUUAUGUCACUGUGUCACCAGCCAGAGAAACAGAUUCCUGGAGUUGGCGCGCACUCCUAAUCCUUAUUGCGAUGUGCACAGACACAUUAUGCGAAAUGAGUUCCACACAGAAGUCUUACAGAAAGCAUUAAGUUUAAUAAAUAAAACACAAAUGUUUUCAUUGGUCACAGGGUUAUGUAAAUAACGGGUUUUCUUUCUAUAAUGUCUUGUUUUGUUAAAAACCAAUUCGUUUUUUUUGUUGACUUUAAUACGCCUUAUAAGUCAUAGUCAUUUAGGAAAAAAAUCUGCUUAUUUAAUAAAGAAUUAAACCUAUUCAUUUUUAGACAAGACAAUCCCAAUGUUUUAACUUCAAAAAUAGUAAAGACAUUAAGGAGUAGUU